GAUGAACGCUGGCGGCGUGCCUAAUACAUGCAAGUCGAGCGAAUGGAUUAAGAGCUUGCUCUUAUGAAGUUAGCGGCGGACGGGUGAGUAACACGUGGGUAACCUGCCCAUAAGACUGGGACAACUCCGGGAAACCGGGGCUAAUACCGGAUACCAUUUUGAACCGCAUGGUUCGAAAUUGAAAGGCGGCUUCGGCUGUCACUUAUGGAUGGACCGGCGUCGCAUUAGCUAGUUGGUGAGGUAACGGCUAACCAAGGCAACGAUGCGUAGCCGACCUGAGAGGGUGAUCGGCCACACUGGGACUGAGACACGGCCCAGACUCCUACGGGAGGCAGCAGUAGGGAAUCUUCCGCAAUGGACGAAAGUCUGACGGAGCAACGCCGCGUGAGUGAUGAAGGCUUUCGGGUCGUAAAACUCUGUUGUUAGGGAAGAACAAGUGCUAGUUGAAUAAGCUGACACCUUGACGGUACCUAACCAGAAAGCCACGGCUAACUACGUGCCAGCAGCCGCGGUAA
rnacentral:rRNA from 1 species